GUGGGGAAUAUUGGACAAUGGGCGAAAGCCUGAUCCAGCCAUGCCGCGUGUGUGAAGAAGGUCUUCGGAUUGUAAAGCACUUUAAGUUGGGAGGAAGGGCAGUAAGUUAAUACCUUGCUGUUUUGACGUUACCGACAGAAUAAGCACCGGCUAACUUCGUGCCAGCAGCCGCGGUAAUACGAAGGGUGCAAGCGUUAAUCGGAAUUACUGGGCGUAAAGCGCGCGUAGGUGGUUUUGUAAGUUGGAGGUGAAAUCCCCAGGCUCAACCUGGGAACUGCCUCCAAAACUGCAUGACUAGAGUACGGUAGAGGGUAGUGGAAUUUCCUGUGUAGCGGUGAAAUGCGUAGAUAUGGGAAGGAACACCAGUGGCGAAGGCGACUACCUGGACUGAUACUGACACUGAGGUGCGAAAGCGUGGGGAGCAAACAGGAUUAGAUACCCCUGUAGUCC
rnacentral:rRNA from 1 species